UGAUCUUCUUGCAUUCGGCAUUAUUGCAUAGCUGGACCCUGGGGAGGAGCCAGGGCAGCUUUCUGGCCAGAGGGAUGAUGUGCAUCUCACCCGCGAUGACCCCCUACAAGGAGCCACGUCUACUUAAAGCCUAAGAAGCUUUGACCAAUGAAGAUCGAAGAGUACAGACCCAAUCAACAACAUCAUGUUAACAGAGAAAAGAUUGAAGUUGACAAGAAUUUCAUUUUACUUGGAUACAAAAUCAAUGCCCAUGGGUGGGAGCA